GGGGGUAGGGGGGAGACAGGGCUCUUGGGAGGCUCCUCAGGAUUCUGUGGAUACCGGAGCCUGUGACCCAAUUCCAGGUACCCUUGAGAUGCCCAAAAUGGGGACUGGGGGGGGGAGGAGCCCAACUGGGAGCCCCAUCCCCCUGAGGGAGCCCUGCUCUGUGUCCCCUCAGAGUCAGCUUCCGGGUCUGUGAAGCACUUUGCUCCCUGUUCUUCCACAUACAUCCGUUGGGCCGCAUCAUGGGCACCCCGAGGUCAGGGCCCUGGUUUACACACCCCUGUGAGAUGGCACCAGCUCAGCUCCAAGCCCAGCGCAAGCGUGUGGCCAGCAACUGACUUCCCGGAGUGAGGGAAGCGACAUAAACUCCAGUUCCCCCAGACCUUUCCACCCACCCACACCCUGCUAGCUCCCUGGGCCUCCAAAACCAGCCACAGGGAAACUUUCAGGCCCCCCAACACACAUCACCCUCCCCCGUACUCCCUCCCCUGCACCUCCUCCCCACACAGGCACUCCUGGGCCUGAUGUGAUUCACCUGGGAUCUGAGAAGAUUCCGGUGUCAGGGCCCCACCUUUGCACAAGCCCCUUCUAAGGCCUCUUGAAGGUCCCUUCUCUGCCACCCUGUGGCCAGAAGUCAUCUGUCUUGAGCGCCACUCUAUCCGAGAAUGGGGCAGUCACCCCUGCUCCCUGAGGUUGUGGGCGACAGGCGACAGAUGUGUCUGUAGCCUGCCAUGGCUUCAUUUGUAUGUCAUUAUGUCAGCUCACUUACUCGCUGGCUCCCAUGUGUUCUAGAGGUCCUUUCCAGGUGUCCUUCGUCCUCACCCUAACAGUGUACUGUCUUGGUCUUCUUAAGGGCUUUUUAAUGCAUCAAAGGUUGUUAUAUUAAAAUACAGGUGCCUGUCGGAAGAAAGCCCUGACAAUCUACUUCGGAAAAAUCAGCCUGACGGAGCACAGUUCUACUGUGACACACAUGGAGUCAAUGUGAGUCGGAAUCUACUCCACUUGACAGCUGGUUUGGUCCACUUGACAGCUGGUUUGGUGCUGACAGAAAGCAUGGGCAGGUCUAUGAUCGCGUAUCUUAAAGAGAGGAGACUAGAACAAAUAUAAAGCUGCAGUUGGUAAAGAAGCAACCGUUCCUCACUGUGGCCAAGAGAAGAAGUGUUUGGUAUUUUGUGUGUGACACACUGACCUUGUUUUUUUUCUGUACUUUGACAAAAUUAAAUAGCGGUAUGCCCAUCCCCUUCCUUUUCCCUUGCAAUCCGUUUGUCAAGAAACCAUGUCUUUAUCCUAUGGAGUCUCCUAGAGCCUGGGUUUUACUGAUUACUUUUGCUUUAAUAUAUAUCUUUGUCCUACAUGUUUCUGUAGAUUAGUAGUUAGAUCUAGAGAACGGAACACUUUCAAGCUCAGUUAUUCUUUGGCAAAACUAUAAAAGGUGUUUUUAUCUCCAUAACAUACAAAAAUUCAACAUGAACACAAGAACAGACACAGAAAGAUAAUUUCCAUUUCGGCGUCAGCCAUGCCAAUAACACACGCAAAGUUACUUUAGGUGAUAAAUCGGCACCAACGUCAUUAUAAAUAAAAAGUAAAACUCUGGCACUGAGAUGGCAGGGUAGUAGUUCCUCAUUCAGCUGUCCCAAAAUAUGACCGUGUUGACUUUUUCUUAGAUUAUUAUAGAAAUGAAUAAAAUUGGAAAAUUCUGUUGAAGCUGGAGACCUUUGAGACUGUCUAGUGUCUACUGAUUGUAAUAUCAGCCUUUGUUAUUAAAUAUACUAGGCUAUUCUUAGGUGCUCAAAUACUGUAACUUUUUGUUGUAAUGAUCUUUAUUUCAGUAUUGGCAUAAAUCUGAAUUCUAAUUUAUUUACAUUUUGAGUUGCACCCAGGAAAAUUCUAACAAAAAUCAAACAAAAUUGAACUUAUUUGAAUACAUUCUGAACACUUCCCUAUUUAAAACCCAGUCAAGUACAUCCAUGUACAUAUACAGGUUUGGCGGUGGAUAUUUCUACAUAUAUAUUUGUAUGUGCUGCAUGUGUAUUCACAUAUGUAAUAGAGCACACAGGGGGUACAGUCAAGGAAGCUUCCUAGACACAACCAAACACCUCAUGGGACUGAGUUACCGGGCUUAAAGGCUAGGGACCAUAGUCUCAGGGGACAUCUAAGUCAAUUGGCAUAACAUAGCUUCAUAAAGACAGUGUUCUACAUCCUACUUUGGUGAGUAGCAUCUGGGAUUUUAAAAGCUUGCAAGCAGCCAUCUAAGUUAAAACUAUUGGUUUCUUUCCAUCUGGUCCAAAGGAGCAUGAAGAAAACCAAAAACUCAAGGAAGUAAUUAGUUCAGAGGACUAAUGGACCAUAGGAACCACAGUUUCCACUAGCCUGGGACCAGAAGAACUAGGUAGUGCCUGGCCAUCACUACCGACCACUCUGACCAGGAUCACAAUAGAAGGUCCUGGUUAGAAUGAGAAAAAAAUGUAGAAUGAAACUCAAAUUCACAAAAAAAGACCAGACUUACUGGUCCAACAGAGACUAGAAGAACCCCUGAGACUAUGGCCUUUAGUCACCCUUCUAACUUGGAACUAAAGCCCCUCCUGGAGAUCACCUUCUCCCAAAUAAUAGAAAGGCCUAAAAAACACCCGUGAGGAAAGUUCUCCUUAGAACAAUCAUCUAUAUGAGUUCGAAAAGGCAACAUCUGCCCAGAAACAAACAUGAGAAGGCAGGAAGGGGCAAGAAAACCAGACCAACGGAAACGCGGAACUCAGGGUGGUAAUGCGGAGAGUGCUAACACAUUGUGGGGACUGCAACCAAUGUCUUGGAAUAAUUUAUAUAUAAAUUACUGAAUGGGAAACUAAUGUGCUCAGUAUACCUUCACCAAAAACACAAUAAAAUGUUCAAAAAAAAAAAAAAAAAUACAGGUACCUGUAUCCACCAGGCACUCCUUGGAAGCUCUAUGGGGCAGUUCUACUCUGUCCUAUAGGGUCGCUAUGAGUCAGAAUCAACUUGAUGGCAACAGGUUUGAUUUUUUUGGUGGUGUGUAUCCUGGAAAAGCAGGAGGGACUUGCCCCCUGCCACCUGCCACGUGCAGUCUGACUCCAGAGGCCUUUGUUCAGAAGAGGCCCCAUCAGGCCUGCCCCUGGGGUCCAUGCAGUGUGAUGAGAUCUCACAGCCUCAGACACUCCAAUCAGACAGUCAGCAUGGGCCAUCCCAUCACUCUACCAUAUACAGCGAGCAUCAGGACACGCCAACCUGCAGCCUUCCAACCCUGGCCUCCUUGGGCCUGCAGGGCAGGGCUGCACCUGCCACCCCACAGCCCACCAGGAGGCCAGCUCAGGCCGGCGGGAGAAAGGCUUCUGCUUCAAGGCCUGCCCCAGUGCCAGCACAUCACAGAGCCCGGCUGGAUUCAGAAAAGAUACAGGAGGGUCAUUGAGGAAGCUUCACAGUCUGAAAAGAUAAAGUCUUAGGGGAUACCAUCAGAGAGAAUUGGGAAGGAGAGGGCUGGGGUAAAUGUGCCAGGGGUGUCGGCUCAGAGUCCAGUCAGCUUUUCAGGGGAUAAGGGUCGGAAAGCACAAAUGACCAGGAAAAGGAGCCAGUUUGCACACACGAUUCCCUGACACAUGAAUUGGCAUGUGAUAAAGGUGUGGCCACACUCAACAGGAGAUAAAGAGGCAAUAGGGAGGGUGAGCAGUGAUCAAGGAAGGCUUCCUGGUAGAAGCGGCCUGACGGUCUUAGUGGAAUGGCGGUAAAUGUCUGAAUCAGUCUCAUGUUCCAGAAAACGUGGAUUUAUCCAACAUCACUGGGGCUGGGGCUGGGGCUCAGGACUUCAGUUUUAAGCUGCAGGUUCGGUACCCCGUGGUCAGCCUACUCUUCUUGUCCCCACCGGGCUGACCAGCCGCUCUGGGAGUUGGCGGAGGGGGGAGAGCAGCUACCACCACUGCCCGAAGGUGCUGGUCCGGCUGUGGCCAGCAGGGGGCAACUGAGCUUGCCCUUUCCUCCUCCGGAUCCACAGCGCUGGUGACCAGGCGGCACCGCCCUGUCCUGAUCCCGGCAGCCUAGGACUGUGGUCGUGCCUGGAGCAGAAUCAAUGCGGGGGAGGAGGAGGUUUGGGUCUGAUGUUGCAUGCCUCCCCAAAGUGGGCGCCCGAGUUCCAGGACAUGUUGAACCUGCCCGACCUUCUGUGUGCCGCUGGGUCCAUGGUGAGAGUCAUGAACCUUGAAGGGCACCGGAUAUGGGGUUCCCCAGGGGGUCCCCAGCUUGGUGAUGAGAUCCACGUUUUCCAAAGUUUAGGAUCCAUGUCCUGUAAACAGACUGCAGCUUAUUUACAACUAGGGCUGUUGGGUAAAUCCAAGAGGUGGCCCCCCAGGGCUGCAUCAUCACCCUCCUGCUCUGCCCCAAGCCCACGGAGCUGACCAUUCCAGGCUCAGAGAGUGUCAGCGGUCACCUCCCCCCUCCCCCCUCCCCCCCCGCCAACGCCAAGGUCAAAUGGGCAGAGGGCGCAGAGUCCUUGGGGAGAGCUGGGACAGUAUAACUCUCCCUGUUGCACAUGACACUUAAGUCAAAUAAUUAAAAAUAGCUGGAGGCUGCCCAAACUUCCCAGCUGUCACACCCUCCCAGACUGAGCCGUCAGCUAUUUCAAACUAAAUUUACCAUAGAAAGGAUAAUCAUCGUGCCAGCUCUUCCCAACAGUUCCUUGAACCCUCUGCCCAUUUGACUUUGGCAUUUGGCAGGGGGAGGGGUGAACACUGAUAUUCUCUGGGCCAGUGAGAGCACAGGCCUGAUACAAUGUCAAGGUCAGUCAAGGUCAACAGCCUCUAGGAGUUGACAGAACCACUCAGGAAAACUGGCUGUGCCCAAAGAAGCCCUGGUGCCACCCGGCAGCCCUCAGGGACAGCAUUCAGUUGGGCCACGGUGGGGGUUGGCACAGAAAAGACUCCUUCGUGGAGGUUCGAGGACAGUCUGCACUACCAAUGCUCUGAAGGAAGUCAGAGCAAUAAAUAGGGUCACAGUGGAGGCAAGACAAGUUCCAGGCCUGAGGACAUUCCCAUCUGCAGUGACCCAAAGUGGACAUGGGACCUGGAGAAGAAAGAAGGUUUCUUGGGGGGUGUCAUGGAUUUAAUUGUGUCCCCCCAAAAGAUGUGUCAACUUGGCGGGGCCAUGAUUCCCAGUAUUGUGUGGUCGGUCUUCCUCCAUUCUGUGAUCUGAAGGACACUGCACAACUGCCCCAUAGGGUUUCCAAGGAGCCGCUGGUGGAUUUGAACUGCCUCUUGAUUAGCAGCUGAGCCCUAAACCACCGUGCCACCAGGGCUCCGAAACAAGAUUAAAGGUGGUUACGUUAAUGAGGCAGGACACAAUCUACAGGAUUGGGCUGUAUCUCGAGUAAAUCUCUUUUGAGAUAUAAAAGAGAGAAUCAAGCAGAGAGGAGAGGAACCUCCUACCACCAAGCAAGGAGAGCCAGAAGCCAAGUGCAUCCUUUGGACCCUGUGCUGAGAAACUCCUACACCCAGAGGAAGAUUGAUGACAAGAGCUGACAGAGAGCGAAAGCCUUCCCUGGGAGCUGGCACCCUGAAUUUGGACUUCUAGCCUCCUAAACCGUGAGAGAAUAAAUUUCUGUUAAAGCCAUCGACUUGUGGUAUUUCUGUUACAGCAGCACUAGCUAACUAAGAGGGUUUAUGCAAACUUAGGGGUUGGAGAUGGCUCCCCUGCCCAGAGGAGUUGGUGCCAGGAUUCCUGGCGGGUGGGGUUUUGGGAGGAGGCUGGAAAGGUGGGUUCAGACCAACGUUGGGGUCUAUGAAAGCCAGCAACAGGGGGACCCUGGAGGUCUGGGGGCAACUGGGAGAAGGACAGCAGUGCUCGAGGGGCCAAGGCCUGUGCAUUCCAUCAACAGCCUUCCCUCUGCAGGGAAGGCGCAGCGGUGGUGUUGGAGGAGAGACAGAUGGCUCUGGUGAGCGCCGUGACAGUUAGGAGCUAAGGAGGUGACCCUGCACCAGUAAAAGAGUUGGCAGGAGAAGGGUAGGAAGGCGUUCCAGGCAGGGGCCUAGCUCAGGGAAGAGGCGGGUACUCACCAGGGCCCGGGCACCACAGGCCCAGGAAAAUGGGCACAAGGCCAAAUGCUCAGGACGGGGGGUGGCAGAGAGCAGGGGGCCCCAAGGAUAUCCUGACUCAAGAGACUAACACCAACAAAGUUGCUUCCAGGCCUAGGAGUGAGAGGCCCCAGUAGGAUCUGCCUACACCCACCUCCUAGUGGUGAGGAAAGGAUAUCAGGGACAGAGAACCUAGAGGCCCUACCACCCCCAGGGGAGAGGAGGUCAAAGGUCACUUUCCUGUCAUAGAGCCCCUCCCCUACCACCUCCUUCUGUGCGGUCUGUCUGCUUGGGUCCAGGAAAGCAGAGCACAUCUGCAGAUGGCCAUCAAUCUAGAUCAGGAGGAGGUUCUUUAAACCAAGGUCUGGGGUGGUCUCCAUCCUUUCACACUCUCUCUCCAAUGCCUUCUGCCAACAUUUGGCCAAAAGAGGCUUUUCUGGGUUCACUUGGUACACGCCAGGCUGCCAGCAUCACAAGCCUGUGGGAGCCACUGGGCCCCCAUCCAGAGGUUCCCGCCCUGUACCCACCCCUCUUCUCCUUGUCUCCAGACCUGGGUGCCCAAGGCCCUGGAGACCUACAGAUCUGGGCCAUGACUGGUAUGGGGCUGCAGUUGACCUGUGAUGAUUUCUUUCCUUCAGACAGUCACAAAGAUUUAGCAAGAGCCUCAGGGUAUCCAGCGACCUUUACGAAACAGAAACCAUCUGGUCAACAAACAUGUACUGAGUGAGGAGUGACUACUAUGCUGGUGCAGGAGGUCCAGAACGAAGUAGACAGAAACCUCGCCCAUCUGGAGCCCAGGUGUUACACACACACACACACACACACACAUGCAGAGACACAUGGAGUAGGUCAGCCAGGGGGGCAUGGGGGCUUUAGAGGCCUCACUGAGAAGGUGACCAUUGAGGGAGGCGUAUGCCAGGUGGGCACCAGGUGAAGAAUGUUCCAUACAGAACAGCAUUCAUCAGAAUUAGGAAACAUUAGGCAGAGGAGGGCCUCAGAAGGAGGAAAGCAAGGCCAGGAGAGAUUAAGGCUUUGCCCAGGGUCACAUGGAGAGGUGGAGCCGUACCGGACAGGAGCCCAGGCCCCCUCUGCCUCUUGCCACAGCAGGAAGAGGCAGGUUGGGUAUGGGGGAAGGGGGUUAGGGUGUUUUUCCCGCAAGGUAUGCUGUUGCGUGGCCAGCCAGAGCGGGACGGGCGGGCUUGCUGCCAGUAUUCAGUGACUGUGCAGUUCCUCACCAGGCCCUGAGUCGAGAGGCCUCAGGCUCAAAGAGAAGUGGCCCAGGCUGAGGGUCUCUUGCCAGUGGGGGACCCAAGGUGACCCAGGAAGCCACAACUCCAGAACUAGACCCAUGGAGGGGUAGGUUCUAGCAUAUUCUCAUGUGGCAAAAGCAAUACCGUCAUUGUCCUGUCCUUGGUGCAGGCCUGAAGCACUGGCCCUCUUCUCUUCCUUUUCCCCACUCUCCUGUAGGAAAUUCCCAGUUCCUUUCUUGGGCUGGUGGGUAUGUUGCAUGUGUUUGGAAUUAACAGAGCUGAACUGGCUUCAGAAAAGAUGGAGAGCUGGGUCACCAGGGAGGCCAGUGAUCCUGACCGCCUGUGGCUGUGACAAAGGGGUCCAAGAUGUGCCCUGUCCCUGGAAUCUGAAUAUUGCCCAAGGGGCCCCUUCCUGUCCUUAUUUUCCCUCUCACCCCUACACCCCCUCCCCCAGAGGACAGCACAGGAAGGACCAGGUUGUGGCCACCAGCCCAGCAGGGCGGGCCCAUCACCCCCACAGCCCCACCCAGUGAUCCAAGGCCCUGUUUACUGCUGUUGCCUGGAACAGCUUGUUUUGAUCCUGAGAAAUUUGCUGACACACUGGCUGCCCUACUCUCAUCCUUCAUCAGGGUGGAGGUAUUUUUAGCCUUAUUUGCAGAGAAAGAGGACAGAGCCCAAGCUCCUUAAGUACAGCCUUGGCCCCCUAAGGAAGGACAGAGAUGCCCCCAUGUUGUUUUCUGCCCUCAUCUCAUCUCCUUUCGAAGAUGUUCCCUUCCUGAGGAAAACUAGCUGUGUGGAGCUAGGAGGCCAGAGACGGACUAAACAAGUGCCCUCUGAAACAGCGCCAUUUUGUCCUUGAUAAGCAAGUGGGUGACUGGGACAGCUCCAGACACAAGGGCACAAAGGAGAGCCUUAUUUCCUCAUGUGAUGAAGAAUCCUAUGCUUUCAUGUGUUCCUAAUUCAACCCACUCCUACUCUUCCAAAAAAUAAAAUGAAAGGUAGUUUGUUUCUGGGAUUUGGGAAUGAUAUGUGUGAAUGUGGGAGAUUUUUGGACAAGAGAUAGUGAAAAGUACCUCUCAGACACCUUGUUAGAUAAAGAAAGGGCUCACUCCACAGCCUGGCACUGUGACACAGCAGAGAAGAAUCACUUGCUUGAUUUCAUACAUACCUCUCAGCUUUCUAGAACAUUCUAACAGGCAAUGGCCUCACUCCACACUGUACUUUCAGGUCAAGUCUCCCCACACCAACCCACUCCUGAAAACGUUGCCAGGGAAAGAAUGAUGGGGCAGCUGCUGGAAAAGAACGAGCUGACCUAAUCUUCCCCUGGCAGAGAGCUCUGCUAAGAGCUUGCCUGUGAACAAGCCUAGGCUUGCCACACACUCAACCUUCCUGAGGGUCAGAUGAGAAGGAGUCAUCAGUUUUCAAGAACCACAGGGUGGGGUGUGGCAGCUGGGCCCAGCCCUGCCUGCAAAUGCCAUCUUACUGAGGCAGAGAAAAAAAUACCUUCCAGUUUCUUCCCGGUUGCCAAGGGAGCCUGUUAUUGCAGGGUGUUUUUGUUUGGAGUGUGGGUGGUUACCCUGGAAGGAGACUUCCUGGCAGGGAGUUUGUCCAAGAUACCAUUCCCAUUCCUGGUUUCUCAGAGGACUGUCCUUCCACCCUCUGGUUUGGGGGACCAGGGCUGAACAGACACUACAAUGGGGAUGUCAGGAGCGUGGUUCCCCCAACCCUGGCACCAAACUGGCAGGGGAGAGGCCAACUACACUUUUCAAAAUCCCCCACAGACCUCCACCGAUUUCUCGGAUCCUGCCUGGCCUUCACGGAGGGGAUAGAGGUUGCCUGUUUGCCUUUGCUUUUGGAAGACCCACUUGGCUCCUGGGAGCAGCUGCCCCAGCACUGUAAUACGUCACAGGCUGUACACUGCCCUGAAAAAUGCAGUUUUUUUCUUUUUUUAAAAUCACUUGCCCCCAAUCCAAGAUCAAAUGGGCUGACACUCUAAAGUCCAGAACAAAUCAGAGAAACCACUGUGGUCCCUC